UACGUAGGCCCCGAGCGUUAUCCGGAAUUACUGGGCGUAAAGAGUGCGUAGGCGGAGUGGAAAGUCAGACGUGAAAGGCCGGGGCUUAACCCCGUGUUUGCGUCCGAAACUCCCACCCUUGAAUCGGGGAGAGGUAAGCAGAAUAGUAUGAGUAGGGGUGCAAUCCGUUGAUACAUACUAGAAUACCAAAAGCGAAGGCAGCUUACUGGAACCGCAUUGACGCUGAGGCACGAAAGCGUGGGGAGCGAAAAGG
rnacentral:rRNA from 1 species